rnacentral:lncRNA from 1 species
AUCGUUAGCUGCACGUAAUGCGUGUUGUAAUAUAACAAGGACAUUUUGAAAAAACAAAUUCAAUGAGUUAUUGCGAGUACCUAAUGCGUUUGUACAUCUGUUGCACCAUUCUCUAUUAGCUAGCUAUAGCUCUGUUCGUCAAACAUGUCAAUCCUCGUGUCUGGACUCGAAAUUUAUUGAUAGGCUUAAAACGUGAACUUAAAUUAGGAACUCAACGGAAUUGAAACUCAUAAUCUCGUGCUCUAAUAUUAUGUUGAAUAAUAAAAAAUAGCUAUAGCUCCAGAAACCAAAAAUAUUAUAAAACGAUAAUUUUAAUAUUUAUAUUCCAUA